UACAGAGGUGGCAAGCGUUGUUCGGAAUUACUGGGCGUAAAGGGCGCGUAGGCGGUCAGGUCAGUCCCGUGUGAAAUCCCUCGGCUCAACUGAGGAACUGCCUUUGAAACUGUCUGGCUUGAGGCCGGGAGAGGGUAGCGGAAUUCCCAGUGUAGCGGUGAAAUGCGUAGAUAUUGGGAGGAACACCGGUGGCGAAGGCGGCUCACUGGACCUCUUCUGACGCUGAGGCACGAAAGCUAGGGUAGCAAACGGG
rnacentral:rRNA from 1 species